CAUUCUAGAGACCCCCUGUCCAGCUCACUCGAUGGGAGCCACUAGAGGGAAUAAGAUGUUCUCCUGCUGUAUCCCGACUUUCUGAGGCUCUGACUCCAGGAAAGCCCGGCACGAGGGCCUUUUCCAUUGCUGCAGGCUUUUUGGCUCAGCACUCACUUUUGGCACCUCUGGCCAUUUGGCAGGAAGUACCCAAAGUGAUGGCCAGGCAGGGCCCUGAUGUCUGAUGAUCUGGCUGCCGAGCAUCAUUUGUGCAGAGCUCCAUGUGAGAGAUCAGUGAGGAGCUGGUUGAUGGGUUCAACUCCUCCAUCUUCCUAGACAAGGGUAUAAAAAUGAGUUAACCCUGCACCUGGGCGAGAUCUGCACAAUGUGGACCCUCCAGUUCCUGGACUGGGUAUUCAAUAGGUGGGAGCCUGUCCCUUCGACAGCACAGUGGGGACUCUGCCACCAGCUAGCUGUGUGUCUCAGGAAUUUUGCUGCACCUCUCUUAGCCUCAAUUUGCUCCUCUGAGAAGAAAGAUACACAUGCAUCCUGCCAUAUUCUGACAGAGAUGAUGGACCUCAGGAUCAACUAAAAAUGUAGCCCUUCAGAGCAAGAGUCACUGGCAAGACCCAGCCCAUGUAGGUUCUAUGCCUGCCCUGCCUGAAGACCAGGGCUGUCUCUGCCAGGACAGUCACAGAGGGGUUGGGUGGGGCCGUCUCUGGACAGGCAGGGCAGGCACAGGGGCCCACAUCCAAACAAGGUGCCCUAGAAGAGCAAUGUGGAAGGAAAGGCCAGGUAUGUGACUCUGCUGCCCCCCACCCCCACCCCCUAACACUAUCUCUUCUAUCCUGGGCACCUGGCCAGAAAAGUACCCUGAGGGCACUCCGGGGAAGGAGCCUGCUCCAGUGACAGCCCAAGAUAGAAUCAGUCCCAGAGCACUCCUGCCCCUAGCCUGGGACCAUACAGAACUGGCCCAGUGAGGAGGUCCCCAGCCUCCUGGGGGAUUCUUUCCUAUGCUGGUGGCAGAGCAAUUGACUCUGAUGGAUGCAAUGAGCGCUGGGCUCUCAGGGCAGGGUUGGGACAGCCUCCCCUCUGGGACCUUUCCCUGAGCCUCAGUCGAAUGAUGCGGGCCCAAUCCCAUCUCCACCUCUUACCAACCAUAUGGCCUGGACUAGAUUCUUAACCUCCAGACCUUCACUGUCCACAUGUACAGGGCAGAGAUGGGACAUAACAGCACCUGCCACACACAGUGACUGUGCAGAAUGAGAGGAGAGAGGGAAGGCAGGUCAGGGCCUGGUCCCUUUGUAGGUGGAGGGUGCUCACUGAGGAGCAGCCAGGUGCAUGGGUUGCCCACUUGUGCUCAGGAAACCUCACCCACCUCAGCCCUUAUUAGGCACCUAAUGUGGAUUCUAAGACAGACACUGAAACAAAGCUGCCCCUGGGGAAGACGACAUGUAUCCAAAUGGGGAGACAGACUAGAUGGCUGAUCAAGAAGGAGACAGAUGCCAUCUGGGGAGGGACAGGCAUAAGCCACUUUCUGGUGCUUGGAGUUAGUGAGGAAGGGCUGAGUGAAAAUGCCACUCUCCUGUGCCUACCAAUAUUGGGUCCUGGGUCAUCAUGUGCUGGGUGCCCUCAGUGAACCACCAUGUGAUGCAGAGACCAGAGAGUGAAGGCCCGGGCCGGCGCAGGGUGGUGCAACUUUGAAUCGAGGUGGCCAAGGUUUGCUGUGGGAGGCCCAGGGAGCUCCCGUCUGUGUCCCCUUCCAAAUCUCAUCUUGAAUUCCCACGUGUUGUGGGAGGGACCCAGUGGGAGGUAACUGAAUCAUGGGGGCAGGUCUUUCUGUGCUGUUCUCGUGACAGUAAGUCUCACGAGAUCUGAUGGUUAUUAUAAGGGGGAGCUUUUCCUGCACAAGCUCUUUUUGCCUGCUGCCAUCCAUGUAAGAUGUGACUUGCUUCUCGUCUUCCACCAUGAUUGUGAGGCUUCCCCAGCCACCAACCAUGUGGAACUGUAAGUUUAAUUAAACCUCUUUCUUUUGUAAAAAAAAAAAAAAAAAAA
rnacentral:lncRNA from 1 species